rnacentral:lncRNA from 1 species
AUGUAUGUGAUUUAGAUUAAAUAGUUUAAUCUUAUUCUUCCACUGCAUAAAAAUUUUGAAAUUACAUGCAUAGCACUACCUACGUUUCCUUCAAUAUCUACUUGGCUAUCUGAUGUAUUAGGCUUAUAUCCUUUUGUUUGGACUUAUGUUUGUAUUAGCCUAUCAUUGUAUUAGCAUGUAUUUGCUAACUUAUAUGACAUUGUAUAUUGGUGUGCUAUGACCUAGCACAUUCAUUUUGAUGA